rnacentral:misc_RNA from 1 species
UACGUAGGUGGCAAGCGUUGUUCGGGGUUAUUGGGCGUAAAGCGCGCGCAGGCGGUCCUUUAAGGCUGAUGUGAAAGCCCACGGCUCAACCGUGGAGGGUCAUUGGAAACUGGAGGACUUGAGUGCAGAAGAGGAAAGUGGAAUUCCAUGUGUAGCGGUGAAAGGCGUAGAGAUGUGGAGGAACACCAGUGGCGAAGGCGACUUUCUGGUCUGUAACUGACGCUGAGGCGCGAAAGCGUGGGGAGCGAACAGG